CCUAGUUAGAGUUAUGUUUCAUGUCAAACUGAGCUCUUGUUCCAAAAGUUUUACAUUGUAAAAGUCGCUUUACUACCAGCAUAUCAUGUAUUUGAUCAAGUCGAUUCUCUUGCUACUAGUGUGUUCGUUCUGUGGCGCAUGUAAAGAGGGAUUCUACACUUAUUCAACACACAACGGCCUUGCUGGCUAUGUGGACGGUCCUUGCCUCCUUUGCCUUCAAAACAAUGCGAAUGAAGGCACAUUUAACUAUGAAUGUAACAAUGGCCUCGUGUGUGUGGGCAACCGCGGUUCAUCGUCACGUCUAUGUAAGCAAAAGGACAAACAGAGCUGAGCUGUAAACCUUGUCUGGCAACAAUAAACAAGGUCUCAGAGAA